rnacentral:rRNA from 1 species
UACGGAGGAUGCAAGCGUUAUCCGGAAUGAUUGGGCGUAAAGCGUCCGCAGGUGGCUGUGUAAGUCUGCUGUCAAAGAGCGAAGCUCAACUUCGUAAAGGCAGUGGAAACUACACGGCUAGAGUGCGUUCGGGGCAGAGGGAAUUCCUGGUGUAGCGGUGAAAUGCGUAGAGAUCAGGAAGAACAUCGGUGGCGAAAGCGCUCUACUGGACUGCAACUGACACUCAGGGACGAAAGCUAGGGGAGCGAAUGGG